GGGCCCAUAGCUCAGUUGGUUAGAGCAACUGACUCAUAAUCAGUGGGUCGCAGGUUCAAGUCCUGCUGGGCCCA
rnacentral:tRNA from 3 species